rnacentral:rRNA from 1 species
GUCAGGGAAUUACAAGCAAAGCUUAAAACCCAAAGGACUUGACGGUGCCCCAUCUCCCCCUAGAGGAGCCUGUCUUAUAAUCGAUAAUCCCCGCUUAACCUCACCACAUCUAGCUUAUUCAGCCUGUAUACUUCCGUCGCAAGCCUACCACAUGAGCGAAACCUAGUUGGCCCAAUGUUUAUACAUAAAUAUGUUUACAUCAACAAUACGUCAGGUCAAAGUGCAGCAGACGAUGUGGGAUAAGAUUGGCUACACUUUUUAAUUUAAAAGAAACAGAAAAUAAAAUGAAACUUUGUCAAAAGGUGGAUCUAGCAGUAAAAAAAANAUAUCAAAUUUCUUUUAACUCGGCACUGGAGCGUGU